GGAAUCUGGGAGGACCAUCUCCUAAGGCUAAAUACUCUCUAGUGACCGAUAGUGAACCAGUACCGUGAGGGAAAGGUGAAAAGCACCCCGGAAGGAGAGUGAAAUAGAACCUGAAACCGUGUGCUUACAAGUAGUCAGAGCCCGUUAAUGGGUGAUGGCGUGCCUUUUGUAGAAUGAACCGGCGAGUUACGAUUUGAUGCAAGGUUAAGCAGUAAAUGUGGAGCCGUAGCGAAAGCGAGUCUGAAUAGGGCGUUUAGUAUUUGGUCGUAGACCCGAAACCAGGUGAUCUACCCUUGGUCAGGUUGAAGUUCAGGUAACACUGAAUGGAGGACCGAACCGACUUACGUUGAAAAGUGAGCGGAUGAACUGAGGGUAGCGGAGAAAUUCCAAUCGAACCUGGAGAUAGCUGGUUCUCUCCGAAAUAGCUUUAGGGCUAGCCUCAAGUGAUGAUUAUUGGAGGUAGAGCACUGUUUGGACGAGGGGCCCCUCUCGGGUUACCGAAUUCAGACAAACUCCGAAUGCCAAUUAAUUUAACUUGGGAGUCAGAACAUGGGUGAUAAGGUCCGUGUUCGAAAGGGAAACAGCCCAGACCACCAGCUAAGGUCCCAAAAUAUAUGUUAAGUGGAAAAGGAUGUGGCGUUGCCCAGACAACUAGGAUGUUGGCUUAGAAGCAGCCAUCAUUUAAAGAGUGCGUAAUAGCUCACUAGUCGAGUGACACUGCGCCGAAAAUGUACCGGGGCUAAACAUAUUACCGAAGCUGUGGAUUGUCCUUUGGACAAUGGUAGGAGAGCGUUCUAAGGGCGUUGAAGCAUGAUCGUAAGGACAUGUGGAGCGCUUAGAAGUGAGAAUGCCGGUGUGAGUAGCGAAAGACGGGUGAGAAUCCCGUCCACCGAUUGACUAAGGUUUCCAGAGGAAGGCUCGUCCGCUCUGGGUUAGUCGGGUCCUAAGCUGAGGCCGACAGGCGUAGGCGAUGGAUAACAGGUUGAUAUUCCUGUACCACCUAUAAUCGUUUUAAUCGAUGGGGGGACGCAGUAGGAUAGGCGAAGCGUGCGAUUGGAUUGCACGUCUAAGCAGUAAGGCUGAGUAUUAGGCAAAUCCGGUACUCGUUAAGGCUGAGCUGUGAUGGGGAGAAGACAUUGAGUCUUCGAGUCGUUGAUUUCACACUGCCGAGAAAAGCCUCUAGAUAGAAAAUAGGUGCCCGUACCGCAAACCGACACAGGUAGUCAAGAUGAGAAUUCUAAGGUGAGCGAGCGAACUCUCGUUAAGGAACUCGGCAAAAUGACCCCGUAACUUCGGGAGAAGGGGUGCUCUUUAGGGUUAACGCCCAGAAGAGCCGCAGUGAAUAGGCCCAAGCGACUGUUUAUCAAAAACACAGGUCUCUGCUAAACCGUAAGGUGAUGUAUAGGGGCUGACGCCUGCCCGGUGCUGGAAGGUUAAGAGGAGUGGUUAGCUUCUGCGAAGCUACGAAUCGAAGCCCCAGUAAACGGCGGCCGUAACUAUAACGGUCCUAAGGUAGCGAAAUUCCUUGUCGGGUAAGUUCCGACCCGCACGAAAGGCGUAACGAUUUGGGCACUGUCUCAACGAGAGACUCGGUGAAAUCAUAGUACCUGUGAAGAUGCAGGUUACCCGCGACAGGACGGAAAGACCCCGUGGAGCUUUACUGUAGCCUGAUAUUGAAAUUCGGCACAGCUUGUACAGGAUAGGUAGGAGCCUUUGAAACGUGAGCGCUAGCUUACGUGGAGGCGCUGGUGGGAUACUACCCUAGCUGUGUUGGCUUUCUAACCCGCACCACUUAUCGUGGUGGGAGACAGUGUCAGGCGGGCAGUUUGACUGGGGCGGUCGCCUCCUAAAAGGUAACGGAGGCGCUCAAAGGUUCCCUCAGAAUGGUUGGAAAUCAUUCAUAGAGUGUAAAGGCAUAAGGGAGCUUGACUGCGAGACCUACAAGUCGAGCAGGGUCGAAAGACGGACUUAGUGAUCCGGUGGUUCCGCAUGGAAGGGCCAUCGCUCAACGGAUAAAAGCUACCCCGGGGAUAACAGGCUUAUCUCCCCCAAGAGUUCACAUCGACGGGGAGGUUUGGCACCUCGAUGUCGGCUCAUCGCAUCCUGGGGCUGUAGUCGGUCCCAAGGGUUGGGCUGUUCGCCCAUUAAAGCGGUACGCGAGCUGGGUUCAGAACGUCGUGAGACAGUUCGGUCCCUAUCCGUCGUGGGCGUAGGAAAUUUGAGAGGAGCUGUCCUUAGUACGAGAGGACCGGGAUGGACAUACCUCUGGUGUACCAGUUGUCGUGCCAACGGCAUAGCUGGGUAGCUAUGUGUGGACGGGAUAAGUGCUGAAAGCAUCUAAGCAUGAAGCCCCCCUCAAGAUGAGAUUUCCCAACUUCGGUUAUAAGAUCCCUCAAAGAUGAUGAGGUUAAUAGGUUCGAGGUGGAAGCAUGGUGACAUGUGGAGCUGACGAAUACUAAUCGAUCGAAGACUUAAUCAA
rnacentral:rRNA from 10 species